UCCACUAGAUCUAAUAUAAUAGGGAUUUGGCUGUUAUUUAAAUGUGGAUAAUUUUGAAAUUGUUUCAUAAUGUUCCACUGCUGUUUUAUGCUGUUUUGCCUAAUUGCUAGCUCAGAAAAUGUGUCUUACGCAAGGUGAAGUCAUCUUUCCUAUGUUCCUUCUCUACAGGAAAAAACCCCCUCAUCGGCUGAGCCUCAUGGCCAGACUGCCUCUGCCCGCAGUGCCAUAGAGACCACAGGAACCUGGGAGCACUGUCUGGGCAGCGGACCAUGGACGAAUCUCUGUUGUUUUAAUUGAUCUAUGACAUCGGGAUUAAAACGUAUCCUUUCAGAUCUCGGACCACAUUGCUGACUGUAGCUUGACAGCUCGGGAACAGGCAAGGAGCUUCUUAGCCCCAGCUCUGUCCCACAGAGAACUCCAGCGAGGGACCACAGCGGGGAACUGGCUGGAAUGCUGGGCAUACCAGGAAGAUUGGCCCCUCAGGCUUGGAAGAUGCUUGCUCAGACUGUGAGAUGCAUGCCUUGCAAACACAAGGACCUGACCUGAACGCCCAGGACCCACAUUAAAACAAAACAGACAAACAAACAACACAAAAGACUGAAAUUGUAAUGGAGAAAGGAAGGUUGGUCCUUCGGGCUCACUGGCUGGCCAGCCUACCCUGCUAGAUAAGUUUCAGGCCAGGGUGGGAUCUGAUGUCCUGUUCAGAAAGGUGGAUGGCUGUUGAGAAACAACACUCAGACUCAGAUACCACACACCCACACCCACCCACACACACACACACAGAGCACUCACCACACACAUGUAUACCCAUCACCCACACACAUACACCCUACACACACUCCACACACACACAUAUACCACACAUACACACACCACAUACAUAUACAUACAUCCCCCACACACAUACCACACAUACACAUACUACACAUAUACACAUCACAUGCAUAUACACACUACACACAAAUACAUACCACAUCUCUCUCUCUCACACACACACACACACACAUGCACACACUACACACAUAUACACACCAUAUAUACAUACACAUAGCACACACACCAUGCAUAUACAUAAAUACUUACAACACAAAUAUACAUAUAGCACACCUUCAGACCCCCCCCCAUACACACAC
rnacentral:lncRNA from 1 species